UUUUGACAUAACUUCCACAAAGAUUAAUAUAUAUUGUCUUUGUUUUUAUUUUAUUUUUAGGGUUAAAUUGGUAAUUUUAUUUUUUAUUAAUGUCCAAAAAAGAAACAAUAUUGCAAAAAGGGUAAUAUUGUAAAAGUAAGCUAAAAAAAAUACAAAGUAACGGCAGGGGUGUCAAUAGUUUGAUGGCAAAGAUGUUUUGAAGCAGUUUUAAAAAUAUGAGACCAAAUAAGCACUAACCUCAAAAUAUAAGGACUAAACAAGCUUUUGCCCUUUUUAUUUUUUCUUUUUAUGCACAAGACAUGAGAUACAACACACUCAUGCUCUUUUUCUUUUUCUUGUUUAAUCUAUGAACACUUCACAAAAUACACGCUCUCGUUUUUUUUUUAACUCAUUCUCCCUCCUCUUACCUCACGGCUUGUUAAUUCUUCACUAAGCUUUUUCUUUUCCUCCUUCAGUUCGUCUUCUUAUGCUCACUUCUUUCUUUUUCUUUUUUUCAAAACCCUCAAAGAAUUUACUUGAUUUGGUGACUUGUGACUGGAAAUGGGACCAAAGUUGAUGGAAUAUGGUGGCUGGAGAUAUGAAGAACGCGUCGGUGGCUAUGACUUGUGUUGGAGAAAAAUCAGUUUUUUAAAUAUUUAUAAAAACUUUUAGGAUCGAUCUCAUACAAUAUAUAAGAAUUCGUUAUCUAGAAAUCGUACCUUGAAAAUUCAAUUUGGUUUUUUUUCGCUGAGUUAAUCUAGGCUCUCAGAUCAUGAUUUGUCACUACCAUGCCUGUUAGAUCACGAUCCGUCACCACCACGCUUAUUAGAUCACAAUCCAUCACCAAUGAUCUUUCAGGUUAUGACUUAAGUUUAAUCUGCACUUGACGUAUGGGCGCCUUUAUCACUACUACAAGCAACUAGUAAGAGAAAUUUUUCCUCUCAAUUUCAGAAUAAAAAAUUAUUUUU
rnacentral:lncRNA from 1 species